GGUCCGCUCCCUGGUUCAGAUGCCCAAACUGGUACCCGCCCGCUUACCGUAAAGGGCUCCCUAGUUACUCUCAUCGCUUCACUCCGCAAUCCAUCCAAACCGGCGUCUUUUACCGGUUGCACGACGGCGUUCGCAGCCGGCGACUCUCUCCGCCGUCUUCAGCUCUUCCAUUCCAAAUUAACUGGGAAAUGCAGCCCCUAUUAAUUGUCUCGGAGGAAUCUCAAUUUCUUCUUCGAAUACUGAACGGGAGUUUUCAAACGCUAGACUUCAUCAAAGACCGCGUUUUUCACGGUUUUGCCGAUUUAUUCUGCUCGAAAGCGGAUUUGGAUGUUAUCGACAUUAGACAAGAUAAUGUAGUGCAAUGUGUGAAUCGGGAGGAGCAAGGAUCCAAAGAUUCGUUGUCUAAGGGGAACGAUUCGGAUCAGCAAGAGGAUUCAAGAGUGGGAUUCAACGUGUUGGAUGCGAUGUUAAAGCAUAGUCUGGAUCGUCUGAAGAGUAUGAGGGAAAGAAUAUCCUCAGCUGAAGCAGGCAUUCAUAACUGCACCUUGGAAAUAAAUUUCAAUAAAGAUGCAUAUGUUAUUAGAGCUAUGUGUCUGGAUGGUAAAAUGGGGGCAGCUUUAUCUCUUUGGUUCAACAUGAUACAGAAUAGUAUUGUUCCUGAUGUUAUCACACACAAUUACCUCAUCAAUGGACUGUGCAAAAACUGUGAAUUGGAGAAGGCAGAGUGGAUUGUUAGAGGUAUGUUAUAUAGGGGCCCUUCUCCCACUUGUGCUACGUACAACUCCUUAAUAAGGGGUUAUUGCCUCAUGAAUGACGUCGAUAAAGCUCUAAACACGUUUUCUACCAUGGCCAACCAUGGGAUUUUACCAAACAGAGUUACUUGUAACAUCCUUGUUCAUGCGCUUUGUAAGAAGGGUUUGUUGGAGGAGGCGAAAAAGCUUUUUCAUAAAUUACUAAGCAAAAAUCAUAACGGGGGGAGCUCAGAUUUGAUUACAUCAACCAUAAUGAUGGAUGGUUGCUUUAAAAAUGGAGAUACUGAUCAAGCUCUUGCUUUUUGGGAGAGGAUGUUAAAAGAGGGUGUCCAAGUUGAUAAAGUUUCUUACAAUGUUGUUGUCCAUGGAUUCUGUUUGAGCCAUGACGUGGGCAUUGCAUAUAAGUAUUGUUGUGAAAUGCUAAAGCUUGGGUUCGUUCCAGAUGUCUAUUCUUACAACACUCUUGUUGGAGCACUUUGUAAAAAAGGAAAGACCAGUGAUGCUUGUUAUAUCUACGAUGUUAUGACAAGAAUGGGUGUCAUCCCAGAUCAAAUUACAUACAAAAUGAUAAUUCAGGGCCUAUGUAUUAACAGGGAAAUUGAUAGAGCCAAUUGUUUUCUUGAUUACAUGUUAGAGAAUUCCAUUAUACCUGAACCACUUGUUUGGAAUGUUAUAAUCGAUGGUUACGGAAAAUUUGGAGAUAUACAAAAGGCUUCAUACAUUAGAGACAAAAUGGUAGCAUUUGGUGUUCUACCAAACAUAUAUACAUAUAAUGCAUUAAUUUAUGCACAGAUAAAGUCAGGAAAUAUUUUAGCAGCUCAGCCCUUGGAGAAGGAGAUGCUUUUAUAUGGUCUUACCCCUGAUUUAGUUACUUACAAUCUGUUGAUUGGUGCUGCUUGCAGUCUUGGCCUGAUUCACUCAGCACUUCAGCUACAUGACGAAAUGUUGAGAAAAGGUUGUCAGCCAGAUGUAAUUACCUACAGCGAACUACUUAAGGUGUUUUGUCUACAAGGUAUGAUGAAAGAAGCGGACAAGCUCUUUGGGAAGUUACUGGCAUCUGGUUUAGCUGUUGAUCAUGUUCCCUUUCUAAUACUCAUGAAAAGAUACUGCAGACUGAGAGAAUUUGAUAAAGUCUUUGACCUUUACCAAAAGUGGUUAGUGACUAUGCGUAGAUGAGAAUAUCUCCCCAACGGGUAUUGUGAAGUUAAGGGCUACUCUAUAUGUAUUUAUACAAGAAGAGAAAGCUACUUCAGACUUUUGCACCUGGUUGGCUGGCAGAUUUUAGGUCCAGAAGCAUUGUCCUCGUAGCAGGAGUCGUCUUUGUCACCGGAGGUGGAAGUGCAUGCAGGGUGAAGCAGUAAUUGCAGCAUCUCAUUCUGUCAAAUUGUGCUGAUGAUUGGUCAGUCCUCUACUAAGGAAAUUCGUAAUAUAAAGGCUACUCGCUUUUCUUUUUUUGGGGUCAUUUUUCUGUAGAUCAGCAAGGUUAAGAUUCUAAAUCACAUUGGCUGACCAUGCUGUGCUUCUUUCCCUUUUGGUGAAUUGGUACCUUGUGAGUAGGCGUUCAAGUCCACUGGAGAUUAUCAAGAUGUACUGACCAGCAGAAUUUGCUUUUUACUGCUAGGUAGGUCUUUAGUGCGUAUUCCUCAGUGUUUCAGUAGAAGCUCAAACAUGAAAGUUAAAGUAGUUUGAGCUCCUCAUGAUUACAUGUUGCAUUUGAUAAACUCGUUAGUGGCAAAAACUUGCGUUUGACUGAAAUUGGAUGAAGUGAGUAAAUAUGAAGUAUUUACUUCAACCACUUUCAAUUGUUUGAUAGAGCGGGAAUAGAAUUAAAUAUAUCCUUCCUCUGUGGAUUGACAAAGUUGACGUGGCUGGUAAAGCAUUCUGUUUCACUUUUACAUCGGCACCUGCAGUAACUUAUCCAAAUGAGGGGAAUACUGCUUAUCCUUUUUAUAUUGUCCCUCUUGCAGCCCUUC